AAAUGCGAUCCUACCAGCACUAAAGCACCGGAUCCCAUCAGAACUCCGAAGUUAAGCGUGCUUGGGCGAGAGUAGUACUAG
rnacentral:rRNA from 1 species